UUUUCAUUUUCGUUUUCUCUCUCCCUCAAAGAUCUGGAUCUGCUCUUCCUUCCUUCUCUCUCUCUUUCAAAUUCCCCCUGGAUCUGCAGGUUCUUCCCUUCUCUGGUUCCAGAGAUGUCGAUGGUGGUGUCACGGAAGAGGUUCGCAACAGAACAACUUUGGUGGAACCCUUGAAGAUCGACGAUGACGGUGGCGGUUAGGGUUCUGGUCGUGAAAUUGAAUUUCAUCUUUGAUGUUCAUCAUUAGAUUUGCUCUUUGCUUUGGAGAUACUAUUCAACGAGAUAGUAAGCCUUCAAUUUCAUAUUCCUUUGUCAAUUUCAUGAUUUAUUUCAUUUAAUGAGGGUAAGUGACACCGUUCUUUUGAUUCUGAACACUAUUUCGUCAUAUAAUCACUGGAUUUCAUUUAUAUUUGUUUGUGUUUUUAAGAUGGAUCUUCGUUUUUUGUUGGUCAUGGUUUAAAGAACAUGAAAUGGUUUGAGAAGAGUUCAAGAUCAAGCUAUUGUUUUGUAGUAUGAAGGUGUGCAUCUUCCACAGAGGUUAGGUUUAAUUUCUGUACAUUAACGGAUUUAACUAUAGUGAUUUGUUGGUAUGCUUUCCGUACAUUAUUCGAUAACUAUGUUUGAAAUAUUUUAUGAUUACACAGGUACAUCCUUCAGUUUGUGUCAGCAAACCCAUGAGAUGGUGGGAAAAUACACAUGCUUGAGAUCAAUUAAGCACAAGAUUACGUAGACUUAUGAAAUUCAUGGGAUAAAAUCCCAUCUUUUUUUCUAUUCACCUGGUUGUGGUGGUUGUAAAGCUCUACACCCAAAGAUCUGUCAACUGGCUAAGUCAAGCUCUAAAGCAAUUUUCCUCCAAGUGAACUAUGAAGAACUCAAACCCAUGUGUCAAUCUCUCCAUAUUCAUGUUCUGUCUUUUCUCAGAUUCCACAAAGGUCAUGAGGCCAAGAUCUAUAUGCGAUAAGAGUCAUGUGAUUUUUUAUUAUGCCAAACACCCUCUAGCAAAGUGAACUAGAGACUCAUAAAGGUUUUGGCUACAAAUAUGUCUGCUCUUUGUCUAUCUCAGAAACCCAUUUAUGUUCAAGCCGUGAGUGAGAUGAGAGACAGAAGUGGCAAUGAAGGCUUAGACUAGGGGUGAGCAUAAGGCCGAGUCUCUGCUAUGUAAGCAGGCCAUAAUCACUUGCGUAAAUAUGACAACACUAUUGAGGCCUUAGCAAUCCUUCUACACUUCAUGAGACUGUUGUGGAAGUGCCCAAUGUAAGAUGGGAAGACAUUGGUGGCCUCGAGAAUGCUAAACGAGAGCUACAAGAGGGACCGACUCUCAUUUCCGGUUGUUAGUGCACAUUCAAAGAGAAUCUAAUGCUAGACAUUUCGAGGAUUACUCAAUAAACAAGUCCCUUCAUGCCAAAGACUUGAAGUGAUAAAAGAUUGCGGUUUUGCAUCUGGAGAAGAGACCAAACGCUGAGUUGGAUAAAGAGCAAUAUAGAACUAACGGUUGCUACAAAUGGUGGGAACAAGGUUUGGUGACAUGUCCAUUUGUUAUCAGAUUAUUCAUAAACAUCACCAAUUAGAUGCUUGGAGUAAUGUCAUGCAUACAAAAUAUAAUAGUGAAGACAUUGAGGAGGGCAAGAAUUUGGGUUGACCAGAUUACUGUUGAUUGCAGAUGCUUGGAGAAUAAAAAUACCUUAUUUAUGUAAAUAGUAAUGUCAUGCAUAGAAAAUAUAUAUAGUGUUAUUGAUGAAGCACAAAGAAUGUAGGAUAAAGUUGAUUAACAAAAUGUGUAGUAUGAAGAAAUAUUUAGUCAUUUGCGAAUUGUUGUGCUUUUGUUAGCUUGGCGCAGU
rnacentral:lncRNA from 1 species